rnacentral:ncRNA from 1 species
AAUCAGAUUUCGGGGUGGCCUUAAAGGCCUGAGAUUAUACCCGUUGAACCUGAUCUGGGUCAUGCCAGCGUAGGGAUAAGAAGGAAGGCUCCAU